rnacentral:rRNA from 1 species
GUGAGGAAUAUUGCGCAAUGGAGGCAACUCUGACGCAGCCAUGCCGCGUGCAGGAAGAAGGCGCUACGCGUUGUAAACUGCUUUUAACCGGGAAGAAACCCCAGGACGUGUCCUGGGUUGACGGUACCGGAGGAAUAAGCACCGGCUAACUUCGUGCCAGCAGCCGCGGUAAUACGAAGGGUGCAAGCGUUAUCCGGAUUCAUUGGGUUUAAAGGGUGCGUAGGCGGAGCGUUAAGUCAGUGGUGAAAUCCUGCAGCUUAACUGUAGACUUGCCCUUGAUACUGGCGCUCUUUAGUGCGCUUGAAGUGGGCGGAAUGUGCCGUGUAGCGGUGAAAUGCUUAGAUAUGGCACAGAACACCAAUUGCGAAGGCAGCUCACUAAGGCGAUACUGACGCUGAGGCACGAAAGCGUGGGGAUCGAACAGGAUUAGAAACCCGGGUAGUCC